GGCUUGAGGUCCGGUCCCCUCGCCCUCGGGCUCUCGCUCGCCUUCCGGUUCCGCCUCUCACCUGCCCCAAGGUGUCGGGGCGGGACGGGCCACCUGGAGAGGAGAUGGAAAGCAAGACCCUCCAUCGGCCGCAAGAUUGCACCGCGCUUUCCUGUGACACUUGCUUUCCCGCGGUGUCUGGAACCGAACCCACAGUAUCUCUGAGGGAAGCCAACACGCAUUCAACUAAUCAGCUCUCUCCACACGUGUGCCAUGCACUAGCCUGGGCGAUGCCAUGCAAUUAAUAAGAGGUGCCUCCAUUCCAGUGGGAAGCUAGAGAUGAGAUUCCUUGGAAUGAAACCAAUGGGAGCCCGGGCUCUGGGAGAGUCUCAUCGGAGCAGAUGGGCCAGCAGCCGCCAGCAAGCUUGUUGCCUUUGGCCGAGAGCAGCGUCCUGGGCCUGGACGUCUUGUGAGCGCGCCCCAGCAGGCCCAGCCCCGGGCUGCCUGAGGCCGGCCCGCUUCUCCCCGAGGAACCCCACGUGCCCCCUCAUCCGCCCUCCCGCUCGCUGGUCCAGAAAAUCACCUUCUCAGGGAGCUCUUACCUAAACCCGCUGCCCGUGAACAGCCCGGGGGGUGGCUUCUUGGUGUGUAUUCGGGAGAACUCUGCGUGGGGGGCCCGGAGGCCCGGGUUCUGGUUCCUACCCAACCGCCCCCUUUCCCUGGGACCUUAGGCAAAUGGUCCCUCCCUCGGCUCCGGUUUUCUCAGCUGUAAGGCUGUUUAGAGUAACAACAGCUGUCAUUAAGGAAGCGUUCGCUGUUCUGUACCAGCCGUGAUUUCAUUGAAUCCUUCCAGUAGCCCUAUGGAAUGGGAGCUGUGAUCCUCUUUCGUAGAUAAGGAAACCGAAGCCUAGAAUUCUCAUACCCUAACCGCCCUGCUGAAACCCCAACCCCAACCCUGGCCAGCGGGGACCCCUUCUCUGCUUUCUCUUGGCCACGCCUAAGGAAAUACUGCAGAGUUUACUUUUUUUGUUUGUCCUUUUCUUGUUAUUGGCGGUUGUUCAUCUGCUGAGUUCUCAGGGCCGUGAGUAGAGCCUGGCACAUGGUAGGCACGCAAAUAGUGGUUGAGUUAAAAAAAAAAAAAAUGAAGGAAUGGCCCUGGCCUGUGUGGCUCAGCUGGCCAGGCACCGAAAGGGCACCACUUUGAUUCCGGGUCAGAGCACAUACCCAGGUUCGUGGGUUUGAUCCCCAGUAGGAGGAGGCAGGCAGCCAAUCAAUGUUUCUCUAUCUCUCCCUCUCUAAAAUCAAUAAAAACAUAUUUUUAAAAAAUGAAUGGCCCUAGCCAGUUUGGCUCAGUCGAUAGAGCGUCAGCCUGUGGACUGAAGGGUCGCGGAGUCUAUUCUAGUCAAGGGCACAUGCCAAGGUUGUGGCUCGAUCCCCAGUGGGGGGUGUGCAGGAGGCAGCCGAUUGAUUAUUCUCUCUUAUCACUGAUGUUUCUAUCUCUCUCUCCCUCUCCCUUCCUCUCUGAAAUCAAUAAAAUACAUUUUUAAAAAUGAAUGA